GAUGAACGCUGGCGGCGUGCUUAACACAUGCAAGUCGAACGGAAAGGCCCCUUUGGGGGUACUCGGGCGGCAACGGGGGGAGGAACAGGAAAGUAACCUGCCCCUACCUUUGGGACAAGGUCAGGAAACGGGGGCCAAUACCGGUAAGGAAUCAUAUCUGCAUGGGGGGGGUUGAAAAGUUUCGGCGGUUUUGGCUGGACCUGAGGCUUAGCGGCUAGUUGGUUGGGUAGUGGCUUACAAAGGCGUCGAUGGGUAGCCGACCUGAGUGGGCGACCGGCCAAACUGGAAGUGAGACACGGUCCAGAGUCCGACGGGAGGCAGCAGUAGGGACUCUUCCGCAAUGGGCGAAAGACUGACGGAGGAACGCCGCGUGAGUGAUGAAGGUCUUCGGGUCGUAAAACGCUGUUAUUAGGGAAGAACAAAUGUGUAAGUAACUAUGCACGUCUUGACGGUACCUAAUCAGAAAGCAACGGCUAACUACGUG
rnacentral:rRNA from 1 species